UACAGAGGGUGCGAGCGUUAUUCGGAAUUACUGGGCGUAAAGCGUGCGUAGACGGUUAUGUAAGUCGGGUGUGAAAGCCCCGGGCUCAACCUGGGAAUUGCAUUCGAGACUGCAUAGCUAGGAUGCGGAAGAGGGAAGUGGAAUUUCCGGUGUAGCGGUGAAAUGCGUAGAUAUCGGAAGGAACAUCAGUGGCGAAAGCGACUUCCUGGUCCAGCAUCGACGUUCAGGCACGAAAGCGUGGGGAGCAAACAGG
rnacentral:rRNA from 1 species